AUUGAACGCUGGCGGCAGGCCUAACACAUGCAAGUCGAGCGGAUGAAGGGAGCUUGCUCCUGGAUUCAGCGGCGGACGGGUGAGUAAUGCCUAGGAAUCUGCCUGGUAGUGGGGGAUAACGUCCGGAAACGGGCGCUAAUACCGCAUACGUCCUGAGGGAGAAAUUGUUUUAUCUUCGUACCUCACUCUAUCAGAUUAUCCUAGGUCGGAUUAGCUAGUUGGUGGGGUAAAUUCCUACCAAGGCGACGAUCCGUAACUGGUCUGAGAGGAUGAUCAGUCACACUGGAACUGAGACACGGUCCAGACUCCUACGGGAGGCAGCAGUGGGGAAUAUUGGACAAUGGGCGAAAGCAUGAUCCAGCAAUGCCGAGUGUGAAGAAGGUCUUCGGAUUGUAAAGCACUUUAAGUUGGGAGGAAGGGCAGUAAGUUAAUAACUUGAUGUUUUGACGUUAACAAAAGAAUAAGAACCGGCUAACUUCGUG
rnacentral:rRNA from 1 species